rnacentral:snRNA from 1 species
AGCGAACCGGGAAGAGCCC